UGUACUAUUGUUGAGUUAAUUGAUAACUGAAUAUUUUGGCAGGCAGAUAAAAAAAAUCAUUUUGAAUGUAUAAGAAUUACCUUCAAUCUUCAUAAGCCAUAUGUUCUUACAUUUCUAUAUUGUAGUUGUGUGACCCUAGCUUGCAGCAUUGUGUUCCAACACAACUUUUCAUUCUUUUCCCCUCCAACUUCUGAAUUUUGAACUGCAUGGAACCUCAGCCUGAGCUUGCAUGUAACACUGCAAAAUGUGUGUUCAAGAUUAGCAAACAGGAAUCCAGUGCAAGAUAAUUCCAGGUAGAAAGAUUAUCUGGUAGGAAUCUAUAAAUUGAUUCUGGUAGGAAUC
rnacentral:lncRNA from 1 species